CGGGAGCUUGCACAGGUGCUGCAUGGCUGUCGUCAGCUCGUGUCGUGAGAUGUUCGGUUAAGUCCGCUAACGAGCGCAACCCUCGCUGUGUGUUACAAGUGUCACACGGUACUGCCGGUCUUAAGCCGGAGGAAGGUGGGGAUGACGUCAAGGUCAGCAUGGCCUUUAUGUCCUGGGCUACACACACGCUACAAUGGCCAACACAAUAGGUUGCUAAGCCGCGAGGUGGAGCCAAUCCUCAAAGUUGGUCUCAGUUCAGAUUGCAGGCUGCAACCCGCCUGCAUGAAGAUGGAGUUGCUAGUAACCGCAGGUCAGCUAUACUGCGGUGAAUACGUUCCCGGGGCCUU
rnacentral:rRNA from 1 species